UUCCGCAGUAGAUCCAUCCUCUCCAAGCUGCACUACUACCUGCCUCUCUUCGGCUCCUCCGAGGACCUCUUCCGGGUGCUCAAGCGCGGCGCCGGCCUUCUCUCGGCCGACCUCGAGCGGGUGGUCAAACCCAAUUCCGCGUUCCUUCGGGAGUGCGGGCUAAGUGAUUGCGACAUUGUCAAGUUGUGCAUCGCUCGGCCAUGGCUGCUCCCCUCCAGCAUGGAGCGCAUCCGGGCAAUGGCGGCACACGCUGAAGGUAUUGGUGUGCCUCGUGGCUGUAAGAUGUUCAGACACGCGUUGCAUGCUGUUGCGCGCCUCAGCAAGGAGAAGAUCGCCAACCAAGUGGAGCACUUGAAGAAGACAUUUAUGUGGUCAGAUGCUGAGGUCGGCGUUGUUGUCUCCAAGCAUCCAUCUGUGCUGAUAAGGUCUAACCAGAUGCUGCAGAGCAAGUCAGAGUUCCUCAUCUCUGAGGUCGGGCUGGAACCGACAUACAUUGCUCAUCGUCCGGCAUUGCUCACGUACAGCCUGGAAGUCCGACUCAGACCCCGGCACUACGUCGUAAAGUUUCUCAAGGAAAGCGGAUUGCUGGAUCGCGGCCGGGACUAUUAUAGAGCAGUCAUGAUCAGUGAGAAAGAAUUUGUGGAGAAGUUCAUAUGCCCUCACAAGGAAGCUGCACCACACCUUGCUGAAGACUAUGCAGCAGCUUGCAGAGGGGAAGUGCCUUCCAGUUUCAGAUUUACAUAA
rnacentral:rRNA from 1 species